rnacentral:rRNA from 1 species
AACGAACGCUGGCGGCAGGCUUAACACAUGCAAGUCGAGCGCCCCGCAAGGGGAGCGGCAGACGGGUGAGUAACGCGUGGGAGUCUACCCAUCUCUACGGAAUAACGCAUGGAAACGUGUGCUAAUACCGUAUACGUCCUUCGGGAGAAAGAUUUAUCGGAGAUGGAUGAGCCCGCGUUGGAUUAGCUAGUUGGUGGGGUAAAGGCCUACCAAGGCGACGAUCCAUAGCUGGUCUGAGAGGAUGAUCAGCCACACUGGGACUGAGACACGGCCCAGACUCCUACGGGAGGCAGCAGUGGGGAAUAUUGGACAAUGGGCGCAAGCCUGAUCCAGCCAUGCCGCGUGACUGAUGAAGGCCCUAGGGUUGUAAAGCUCUUUCACCGGUGAAGAUAAUGACGGUAACCGGAGAAGAAGCCCCGGCUAACUUCGUGCCAGCAGCCGCAGUAACAC